ACCUUUUGGAGCCAGCCGCCUAAGGUGGGACAAAUGAUUGGGGUGAAGUCGUAACAAGGUAGCCGUAUCGGAAGGUGCGGCUGGAUCACCUCCUUU
rnacentral:rRNA from 1 species